CAGUAGCCGCGGUAAUACGUAGGUGGCAAGCGUUGUCCGGAAUUAUUGGGCGUAAAGGGCUCGCAGGCGGUUUCUUAAGUCUGAUGUGAAAGCCCCCGGCUCAACCGGGGAGGGUCAUUGGAAACUGGGAAACUUGAGUGCAGAAGAGGAGAGUGGAAUUCCACGUGUAGCGGUGAAAUGCGUAGAGAUGUGGAGGAACACCAGUGGCGAAGGCGACUCUCUGAUCUGUAACUGACGCUGAGGAGCGAAAGCGUGGGGAGCGAACAGGAUUAGAUACCCCCGUAGUCCCUGUCUCUUAUAC
rnacentral:rRNA from 1 species